AAUUAUUCUAACAUUGCAGCGUUGGUUUUCUGGAAGGUCCCUGUUUGUCCCUUUCAAGUUAUUUCAGCUCUAUUCUAAGAACCAGGAAUACAAAGGAUGAAUAUUCAGUUUGGUGUCGCUUAUUCCUCUGAUCAUGUCAUUUCCCAACAGAGAAGUGCAAAUUUCCUUUCUCUAACAGCAACAUUUACUGCUGCAUAUUGGGAAGAAAAAAAUGUCAUUUCACCAGAUGCUCAGUUUUGAUAGGCCUGCACAGAAACCAGCCCGGACAGCAGACCAAGGAGCAGCAACAAAGGUCAUGAGAGCACUUUUUCUUCAAGCAAUGUGAAAAUGAUGGGGAUGUUAGAACAGUUUAUUAAAGAAACCAAACACAAUUCUGUGUCCUUGGUAGGUUUUUUUUUUCUGGCUGAUUGCAUUCUGGCAGGCUCAGAGAGAACACAGUGAUUAUGUACUAAAAGAGGUGCAUCUUCUUAUGCUUCAAGCAUGCUCUUCUCUCUGCCAUUAAUUGACCCCAUCACUCAGGUGUCCUCCAGCCCAUAUCACCCUUGCCCAAAGGCUGUCAGGCUGUGGUUGUAUCAGGAGGUCUUUCAACUUUGAGUCAUUUGCCUGUUUGGGAACCCAGCUGAGGUUAACCUCAGUUAAUUACCAGAUUGCUCUCAGGUGUGUUCUGUUGGGGGAUCUCAAACCAAUGCCCAGAGGACAAUGGAGCACCAUGCAGAUCCAUGUGAGCUGGAGCUGAGGGAGCUGCCUGGGAUUAAGUUCAUCACAGAGAACCAACUUGAAACAGUUUAUAAGUUGGUGAAGAGGACAAGAAAAAAUGCUCAAAUCCUGCAGAAGGAGCCACAGAUAUAUGCACCUCAUGAAGUUUUACUCACUUGAGAGCACUGAGAUCUGCCUCCUCUGUAAGCCGAGGAAGUUGGAACCCAGUUGCCUUGGAGACGAUGCAGCUAUUAUCCAGCAGGGGAAAUGAAGGGGCCAUAUAGGAUUUGUGUGAAAAGCACACUUGAGUUUGUUCUGCACCUUUCAGGAAGUUCAUCUAGCUUUUGUUAUAAUUGUAUUCUAGGAACAAAACGUGGUUCUGUGUCCUUACUGCGUCAGAAAUGGAGAUAUAUCUGUCAAUAAAUAGAUAUAUAUUUAUUUCUGUUUACA
rnacentral:lncRNA from 1 species